UAAAUAAGCGUUUUCCGAGCCGUCUCGUCUAAGGAGCAACACUCUAUGACGAUUCGGCCGAUUCGGGUACGGGAGGAAACGACCGUGCCUCCGCGUGCUUGGAAAGGAAAACCAUUAUAGGACGA
rnacentral:ncRNA from 2 species